GUAGUCCGGCGAGUGAAGCGGGAAGAGCUCAAAUUUGAAAUCUGGCAGUCUUCGAUUGUCCGAGUUGUAAUCUAUAGAGGCGUUUUCCGUGCCGGACCGUGUCCAAGUCUCCUGGAAAGGAGUAUCAAAGAGGGUGAUAAUCCCGUACUUAACACGACCACCGGUGCUCUGUGAUACGUCUUCUACGAGUCGAGUUGUUUGGGAAUGCAGCUCAAAAUGGGUGGUGAAUUCCAUCUAAAGCUAAAUAUUGGCGAGAGACCGAUAGCGAACAAGUACCGUGAGGGAAAGAUGAAAAGCACUUUGGAAAGAGAGUUAAACAGUACGUGAAAUUGUUGAAAGGGAAACGAUUGAAGUCAGUCGUGUUCUUUGGAUUCAGCCAGUUCUGCUGGUCUACUUCCUUGGAACGGGUCAACAUCAGUUUUGUCCGGUGGAUAAAGGUAGUAGGAAUGUGACUUCUCCGGAAGUGUUAUAGCCUAUUAUCACAUACACUGGGUGAGACUGAGGACUGCAGCUCGCCUUUAUGGCCGGCCUUCGGGCACGUUCGAGCUUAGGAUGUUGACAUAAUGGCUUUAAACGACCCUUGAAA
rnacentral:rRNA from 1 species